rnacentral:tRNA from 1 species
GAGCCCGUGGCUCAAUGGUUAGAGCAUUUAACUUCUAAUCAAUAGCUCGCGAGUUCA